rnacentral:tRNA from 1 species
GCUAAAUUAGUUUAAUGAAAACGUCAGCCUGUCUAGCUGAAGACGCUCAAGUUUGGGUAUUUAGUU